AAAAUAAAGGCUGGGCGCAGUGGUGCACACCUGUAAUCCCAGUGGCUUGGUGAGGCUGAGACAGGAGAAUCUUGAGUUCAAAGCCAACAUCAGCAACUCAGUGAGGCCCUAAGCAACUCAGCGAGAUCCUGUCUCUAAAUAAUAUACAAAAAAAAAAGAGCUGAGGAUGUGGCUCAGUGGUUAAGUGCCCCUGGGUUCAAUCCUCCAUAUCAAAAAAUAAAAUAAAAUAAAAAUAAAAAUAAAAGGGACAUUUGCUCAGUGGUAGAGCACCCCUGAGUUUAAUCCCCAAUACUUCCAAAAUAUCCACCAGUGUCAUAUUUAUAGCAUUGAUCUCAUAUAUUUGCUGUGAUGUUGAAAAGGAAUAAAGCAUAUGAAGUGUGUGAGAUCCCAAUAAAUUUAACCAAUUUAAGAAAAACAUUGUCAUAUGAAGAGACGAACAAUAUACAGAAAAAACUUAGGGAAAAAAUAUUGGAGGUGUGUUGGGAAGCUAAUUAAAUGAUAUAUAAUAUAAAUAUAUAUUCAUACAUAUGUACAUAUAUGUACAUGCUAGUCACAUGUUCAAUUAUUGAGUUACAUGCUAGUCACAUGUUCAAUUACUGAGUUACACUCUUAAAUUUCUUUUUUUCUUUUUAAUUUUUUUUAGUCG
rnacentral:lncRNA from 1 species